GGGCGAUUAGCUCAGUGGGAGAGCACCUGCCUUACAAGCAGGGGGUCACUGGUUCAAAUCCAGUAUCGCCCACCA
rnacentral:tRNA from 1 species